CGAGAGGGAUAGUUUACUAGACGUUCAAACUUUUCUACGCCCUAGUGGCGGACGGGUGGAGUAACGCGUGGGUAACCGUAGCCAUAUACAGGGGAGUAACACUUAGAAAUAGGUGCUAAUACCGCAUAAGCGCACAGGGGCGCAUGCCCCGGUGUGAAAAACUCCGGUGGUAUAUGAUGGACCCGCGUCUGAUUAGCCAGUUGGGCAGGGUAACGGCCUACCAAAGCGACGAUCAGUAGCCGGCCUGAGAGGGCGGACGGCCACAUUGGGACUGGGACACGGCCCAAACUCCUACGGGAGGCAGCAGUGGGGGAUAUUGCACAAUGGGGGAAACCCUGAUGCAGCGACGCCGCGUGAGUGAAGAAGUAUUUCGGUAUGUAAAGCUCUAUCAGCAGGGAAGAAAAUGACAGUACCUGACCAAGAAGCCCCGGCUAACUACGUG
rnacentral:rRNA from 1 species